rnacentral:rRNA from 1 species
UACGAAGGGGGCUAGCGUUGCUCGGAAUUACUGGGCGUAAAGCGCACGUAGGCGGAUGUGUCAGUCAGGGGUGAAAUCCCGGAGCUCAACUUCGGAACUGCCUCUGAUACAGCACGUCUUGAGUCCGGAAGAGGUGGGUGGAAUUCCUAGUGUAGAGGUGAAAUUCGUAGAUAUUAGGAAGAACACCGGUGGCGAAGGCGGCCCACUGGUCCGGUACUGACGCUGAGGUGCGAAAGCGUGGGGAGCAAACAGG